UGGGGAAUUUUGGACAAUGGGGGCAACCCUGAUCCAGCCAUGCCGCGUGCGGGAAGAAGGCCUUCGGGUUGUAAACCGCUUUUGUCAGGGAAGAAAUGUCCCUGGGUUAAUACCCUGGGGGGAUGACGGUACCUGAAGAAUAAGCACCGGCUAACUACGUG
rnacentral:rRNA from 1 species